GACGAACGCUGGCGGCGUGCUUAACACAUGCAGGUCGAACGGAAAGGCCCUGCUUUUGUGGGGUGCUCGAGUGGCGAACGGGUGAGUAACACGUGAGUAACCUGCCCUUGACUUUGGGAUAACUUCAGGAAACUGGGGCUAAUACCGGAUAGGAGCUCCUGCUGCAUGGUGGGGGUUGGAAAGUUUCGGCGGUUGGGGAUGGACUCGCGGCUUAUCAGCUUGUUGGUGGGGUAGUGGCUUACCAAGGCUUUGACGGGUAGCCGGCCUGAGAGGGUGACCGGCCACAUUGGGACUGAGAUACGGCCCAGACUCCUACGGGAGGCAGCAGUGGGGAAUAUUGCACAAUGGGCGGAAGCCUGAUGCAGCAACGCCGCGUGCGGGAUGACGGCCUUCGGGUUGUAAACCGCUUUCGCAUGUGACGAAGCGUGAGUGACGGUAAUGGGUAAAGAAGCACCGGCUAACUACGUG
rnacentral:rRNA from 1 species